rnacentral:rRNA from 1 species
GGAUUAGAUACCCUGGUAGUCCACACCGUAAACUAUGUAUGCUUGGUGUUCCUACUAUGUAGGAGUGCCGGAGGAAAUCCGUUAAGCAUACCACCUGGGAAGUACGAUCGCAAGGUUGAAACUCAAAGGAAUUGACGGGGGCCCGCACAAGCGGUGGAUUAUGUGGUUUAAUUCGAUGCAACGCGAAGAACCUUACCGGGGCUUGAACUGCAGUGGACUUUGUGUGAAAGCACAUUUUUCUUCGGAACUGCUGUAGAGGUGCUGCAUGGUUGUCGUCAGCUCGUGCCG